AUCCGAGCCGAAGAUGGGAUCCAGCGUUCUGAUUUCCACCGGAAGCUAAUGGGAUUGUUCCACAAAUAAAAUCACUAAAAAGCAGAGCACCUACAGGGAACACAGCACCUCAAACACUUUCAGCAUUGACAACUAUCAAUCUUUCCUUCCCUGAAGAGAAAGAAAGGGACACAGACCGCUGCCUUUCAGUGUCUUCAUAUGAUGGAGUACGUACUUAGCGGUUAGAAACGUAGCAGGGAGGAUCAGUUUGCGUUUCGUUCAGCCAGAGCCUUUCUAGCUGCAUCAGGCCUUUAGGCAUAUCGUCUCAAUGCAUCCCCUGAUCCCCACAAGACAGCACUGCACAGCGAGCCGGACAUUAGAUCAGAACAACUUUUACUUUGAUAUUGGUUACGAUCCAGCUGAGAGAUAUUUUGUGGAGGAAAUUUGUGAUUGUGAUCAUCGAGAGAAUUCAUGUACAUAUGUAUUUAUAUACAGUCUCAGGAUGGCAUAUGAAAGUAGAGACUCAGCUUAUAAGGUUUGACCGUCAGAAAUCCGGCCAGUUGAAGAUAAAAUGCUCCAGAUGAAAUGCUCCAUGCUCCAGAGUAUUCACACAGGCAUUCUGUCGACCCUACGCGGUAGCGACAGUUGGUAGUGGCUGAGACUUCGAUUGCGCUCCUU
rnacentral:sRNA from 1 species